CAUUGUUAACGGCGCAGUUUCCAGCGAACAGUCGGUGUAUCGAGCGCACUGCAUGUCGCUGUCAGCAGACUCAGCAUCUGUUUACUCGUCACUAGAGGGCAGAUGUUCCGCGGAACUACAGGUGUUGUUGUCGUCGCCACUUAUCAUCGAGUGUUUGACCACUGCAGACGGUAAUUAGCGGCUCAGCCUUUCACGCUUGGUGCGAUAACAUCGGCCGGUGACGAUGCGCCCUUAUCCAUCUUCCCGUCAUCAGCGCUCACGGUCCAUUUCCGUUGCACAAACGCCCGCGGAUGUUUUCUUGCGUGUGGGCGGGAUGAGCGCGGCGCUCUGCGGAGUCUGGUCAAGUGCAAGCUGUCACUAAUGCCUCGGGCUUACAUGCCAGGAUGUUUUGGUGAAGAGAAUUUCCUGCUUUGCUUAAGCCAUCAGCCACCCCCAACCAGAACGAGCAGCACAUGGUCUGAGGACACUUGACAGACGUCUCACUGUGGAUGAAGAAUACAUUUGUAAUUCAUCAUUUGAGCAGAUGUACCUGUCAAGCCUUUGCAAUGAGAAGCACCAGAUGUAUUUUCAGAGAUGUCUUUCACCACCUGGUGGUCCUGCGCAAGUGAGAGCAAGACAUAAGCUAAGAAGGUAGGAAAUCAAGAUAUUCUUCGCAAAUCACAAUGGAGUACGCACUGGUACACAUGUCCCCUUAAAAAAAAAGCCAUGGCAAUUACGUUCAAAGUAUAUUUGAACAACACAAGAGUCCUGCAACAUGAAUAGGGCAUUAACAGUGUUGACCUUGGCUCGGUUGUGGUUAAUGAUUUGGCCGUGGCCGGCAGCUUGAUUCGCUUGUGUUUUAGCUUCAAAUGCGUAUUAAUGAACAAAAGCAAAAACUGCAGCUCGGCUCCCAGUGGACUAUGUGGUUCUAAAUGGGGGGAUUGUGUCUGAGUCAAGAACUUCUCCAGGGCAUCAGACCUGAAUGGUCCAGUAGCAUGAGCCCAUUUAAAAGUAAUUACCAAAGCAUGUUCCAGGGAAUGUGUGUAGUCCUGCCAUUCCAUAUGAAUAAUGGAAGAACAUGUUACCAUGGCUGACUUUUUCGCAGUGAUUGUGUGCCGCCAUGCCAAGGGAACAGAAUUCGGGUGACUCAUUGCAUCUGGAAAAGUAAACGGAGUGCAGGACAAAAAAGCCUAAUGCAAAAGUUUAAACAUAAACAGCACUAUUAAAAUUAACCUGAAACAUUUUCGGGUAGCUGGGUAUUUGUGCAAAGUCAAUCACAUGACAUGGACGGCAAUCGAAAACACAUCUUUGCGAGUCAGAAAUACAGAGCGCACCACUACAAAAGUAUCAUUCACUGCCAUGAAACAGUGGAUGCAUUUAAUCGUGAACAUAUAAAAAUAAACCACAACAAAGCAACACACAUUUUGUACAAAUAAAAACCUGAAAUAGUUCCAUUGAGUGUUUUGAUUCGGAAAGGUGGGUACAAGAUUUACAUAGGGAACAAAAACACUGUAAUUUAUGAGCAUGGUAAACCUUGUUAAGAAUGUAUAUACUCUAUUACCAAAAUAAAAUUCAUGGCAUGAUGGUCUGAAUUUUUAAAAUAGCUGCUUAAUAAUAAUAAUAACAACAAUAACAAUAACAAUAGUAAUGUAACAUUUUAAAUUGUUGCACUUGAUUUGAUGAAAACAAUAAAGACAAAUGGUUUUGCUAAGACACAAAAAGGAACUAUUGCCCGAAACUCAACAAGGCAUGUUAAUGAUAAGUGUCCUAAGGGGCUCACAGACGGUUAAAAUAUUUAAAAGAAAACCUCUUGAGAAUUAUACAAGUAUAAAAGGCUACAAACAUUAAUAAAUUACAUCACUGACACAGAAAACACUUCACAAGGUGCUAGUAAAAUAACUUUGAAAUCUAUCAGGGGUACUUAAGCUCAAAUGUAAGGCUGGUCGUAGAAACGUUCUCAAAUUCUUGAUUCUUUUUUAUCCUUCCCCACCCCCCGACAUAACUGAAUCAAUAAUACACAUGGUUUUCUGCAUGUAAGGCCAUAUGAGUUUUAAUGUUACACUGUUUAUUUUGUUCUCCAGGCAACACCUUUUGUCUAUUGGAACAGAACGAAACGAAAAA